rnacentral:rRNA from 1 species
AUUGAACGCUGGCGGCAGGCCUAACACAUGCAAGUCGAACGAGUGGCGGACGGGUGAGUAAUGUCUGGGAAACUGCCCGAUGGAGGGGGAUAACUACUGGAAACGGUAGCUAAUACCGCAUACCAUCGGAUGUGCCCAGAUGGGAUUAGCUAGUAGGUGGGGUAACGGCUCACCUAGGCGACGAUCCCUAGCUGGUCUGAGAGGAUGACCAGCCCCACUGGAAAUGAGAGACGGUCCAGACUCCUAAGAGAGGGAGCAGUGGGGAAUAUUGCACAAAGGGCGCAAGCCUGAUGCAGCCGUGCCGCGUGUAUGAAGAGGGCCUUGGAGUUGUCAAGUACUUUCAGCGAGGAGGCGUUACUCGCAGAAGAAGCCCCGGCUAACUCCGUGCCAGCAGCCGCGGUAAUAC